ACCACCCAGGCCUGGAACCUGUGUUUGAAUGUGUUCUCACUACAGAAUGCAUUCAACAUUUACAGGGCAGAUUAUGGGCCUUUACGUCAAAGAGGAAUAGAGCACCGUCACAGGUAUUUGGCGUACAGAAGCUUUGUUAGCUGGUGUUGGGGCUAUCUGGGCCGGAGAAUCAGGGUGGUCCUGCCGUCCUGCGUUGUGCUCCAGAUACGAAGAGUGUUCCCUGAUGCUCAAGGAAGGUAUACGGGGUUCAGACCUGCCCUCGAUUGAACCUCGACACAUAGCUGGCUAUAACUUCCCGCUUGUCAGGUUUCUCAAACUGGGCAGAGAGAUACGCGGGUAUUGGG
ensembl:lncRNA